UGGUUGAUCCUGCCAGUAGUCAUAUGCUUGUCUCAAAGAUUAAGCCAUGCAUGUCUAAGUACAUACUUUUGCACGGUGAAACCGCGAAUGGCUCAUUAAAUCAGUUAUGGUUCCUUAGAUCGUUCAUACUACAUGGAUAACUGUGGUAAUUCUAGAGCUAAUACAUGCAAAAAGCUCCGACCGUAUGGGAAGAGCGCUUUUAUUAGACCAAAACCAAUGGGGUUUUCCGACUCCUUUGACUGGUGACUCUGGAUAACUUUAUGCUGAUCGCAUGGCCUUGAGCCGGCGACGUAUCUUUCC
rnacentral:rRNA from 1 species